UUUAUUGAGUGCAAUGGUGACACUGUCAAGUGUCAUUUGUGAGGUGUGACUGAUGUUUUCAUUGAUUUACAGAUGAUAGCAUGGCAAUCUUUAUGGCAUUCCAAAGUCCACAGUUGGAGGUUUUAGGCUUAACCACAAUAUUUGGUAAUGUUACUACAGAAGAUGCCACUCGCAAUGUAUUGCUUCUGGUAUGUGUUUAGUUUAUUCUAUUUUCCAACACAGUAAUUCAUGCUUUGGCAUAAUUUCAGGUCUUUUAUAUUUUUGGAGCAUGUUCAUGACCGAUAACUAUUUUUAAUGUUCAAAAGGACUGUGUGAGAUUGUUGAAUGUCCAGGUCUUCCUAUGGUAGAGGGUACCCUUGAGCCUUUGAAGGUGUUUUGAAUUCCUUAGAAUUAUCUAUGCUUAGUUGAAGCAUUGGUAACUCAUGUAGGGAGGUGCUGCCAACUAUUCAUGAAGAAAGGAGAACGUUGUCUGGUAAUUAUGGCAACAACAGUGAUUCAGCAGUUUUACAAGUACUUGAAGAGAAUUUAUUUAAAGAAACUCAUGCAACUAAUUCAAAUGAAAGAGAUAAUGGUGGUAGUUUAUUGAUGAAGCAUGUUUCAUCAGCUUGAGAUAAUGCAGCACCAACCUCUGCGGGUAUGCCAAAAAUGCUUUCAAACCAGAGGGGUAAUAGGACUAGGUCUAAAAGUGGUGGUUGUCCACGACCCGCGGUUUUUCCUUC